AACAGCCUCCUGUCUACUGCCUCAGAACAGCUUUCACCAAAACUGAAAAUAAAGGCUCCAUGCUCAGAAGCUCCUUAACGGGCUUGAAAGGUUAAUGUUCCUUUCCCUUGCCCCUUCUAUAGCAUAAGAAGACAGUCUUUCAGUGACAUUCUUCUCCUCAAGCAUCAUAUUUCAGUUUCUUCUGGCAGAAAUUCUUUCCUCCUUAUCUUUUGGUUUCAUCUGUUAGCAAUCUACCCACAACCAUCCACGACAUGGUCCUCAUUUGCUGUCUCUUCCCUCCCUUUCUCCUUCUUUCCCUACAUCCCUCCUUCUAUCCCUUUUUCUCCAUUAUCCACUCACACAUACUUAUUGAGAAGCUACUGUGUGGAAUGCACUGCACUCCUUAAGAUCUGGACCUGGGCACUGUCUUUGCUGGUUCCGUCACUGCAGAUCUAACAGGUCAGUUGAGAUUUAUGGCUAUAUUAUCACUAGGUUCCCCUAUACUUGUUGAAACAAAUAUUCUCUGAAGAUAGAAGAGAAGAUAUUCUCUGAAGAUAGGCUGCUUCCCAGGCCCUUAAUCUCCUGUGCUGUCCCGGAGCUGACAAAAUGUGUCCUCACCUCUAAAAGCUCUCACCUCGGCCUUCACCUCUGUCUUGAACUUCCUUCUUAUUCUCCAGGAACAUUCUUCACAUUUCUUAGAGCUUCCUUAGUUAAUUUUUGAUAAUUUUUUUUUCUUUCUCUACUUUUAAAAUGAAGCCAAGUAUCAUCAGAACUUGUUUCUGGCCUGUGCAUGUGUAUGGCUGAGUUAACAGGUUUGUUUUUAAUCUGAUGCCCAAGCACUCAGAAUUUGGUUCACUCUGAAAAUUUCCCUUUAGUCAUUUGCUUAGCAUUUCUACCUCUCCUCCUUAAACUCUAGGCUUUAUUUUGAAAAUAUCGAGGCUGACCUUCGGCUCUUCAGGUGGGUGAAUGUGGCUAAGUCCACUGAUGGGUAAGGCUUUCCUCUACUCUACUUGCUUUGACCACCUGUGACAUCUCUAGAGGCUGCUGUCAGCAGAAAUGGGGCUGCUGCUGUAGCUGUGUCUGCCUCCGGCUAGCCAGGUCCCUUUAUUGGGAGGAAACUGUUCCGUUUCUGAUAGGGGUGUGAGAGGAGGGUCUGUCGUUCACUGCUGUUCCCUAGCAAUCCACAGCAAUGUCAAGUUUCUCUCCUCUGUGCCCUGAUGGCAAUCUUUCCAUUAUCACAAUCAUCUCCACCUCCUCUUCCCUUUCUCUUCCUUCUUCUUUUUCUCUUCUUCCUCCUUUUCCUCCUGGUGACUUUAUCAAAGCUUACCUUAAGUGUUUCUCACUAUAAAGCCUUC
rnacentral:lncRNA from 1 species